GUGUCACAAGACAGCUUUGCAUAAGAGAUGGAAGAAGCUCUGUGAUUCAAGGUACUCAAAUGCUAGGCUUUUUGCUCAGUGCUUGGAGAAGCCUAUCAAAUGAACAACAUUUAGGGCACUGACUUCAACAAUGAAAAAGAUUUGGUUGAUACUUACCCCAAUGGAAGUGACAAAGUUGCAGACUGCACAUUUCA